rnacentral:rRNA from 1 species
GAUGAACGCUGGCGGCGUGCCUAAUACAUGCAAGUCGAGCGAACAGACGAGGAGCUUGCUCCUUUGACGUUAGCGGCGGACGGGUGAGUAACACGUGGAUAACCUACCUAUAAGACUGGGAUAACUUCGGGAAACCGGAGCUAAUACCGGAUAACAUGUUGAACCGCAUGGUUCAACAGUGAAAGACGGUCUUGCUGUCACUUAUAGAUGGAUCCGCGCCGCAUUAGCUAGUUGGUAAGGUAACGGCUUACCAAGGCAACGAUGCGUAGCCGACCUGAGAGGGUGAUCGGCCACACUGGAACUGAGACACGGUCCAGACUCCUACGGGAGGCAGCAGUAGGGAAUCUUCCGCAAUGGGCGAAAGCCUGACGGGGCAACGCCGCGUGAGUGAAGAAGGUCUUCGGAUCGUAAAACUCUGUUAUUAGGGAAGAACAAAUGUGUAAGUAACUAUGCACGUCUUGACGGUACCUAAUCAGAAAGCCACGGCUAACUACGUGCCAGCAGCCGCGGUAAUACGUAGGUGGCAAGCGUUAUCCGGAAUUAUUGGGCGUAAAGCGCGCGUAGGCGGUUUUUUAAGUCUGAUGUGAAAGCCCACGGCUCAACCGUGGAGGGUCAUUGGAAACUGGAAAACUUGAGUGCAGAAGAGGAAAGUGGAAUUCCAUGUGUAGCGGUGAAAUGCGCAGAGAUAUGGAGGAACACCAGUGGCGAAGGCGACUUUCUGGUCUGUAACUGGCGCUGAUGUGCGAAAGCGUGGGGAUCAAACAGGAUUAGAUACCCUGGUAGUCCACGCCGUAAACGAUGAGUGCUAAGUGUUAGGGGGUUUCCGCCCCUUAGUGCUGCAGCUAACGCAUUAAGCACUCCGCCUGGGGAGUACGACCGCAAGGUUGAAACUCAAAGGAAUUGACGGGGACCCGCACAAGCGGUGGAGCACGUGGUUUAAUUCGAAGCAACGCGAAGAACCUUACCAAAUCUUGACAUCCUCUGACCCCUCUAGAGAUAGAGUUUUCCCCUUCGGGGGACAGAGUGACAGGUGGUGCAUGGUUGUCGUCAGCUCGUGUCGUGAGAUGUUGGGUUAAGUCCCGCAACGAGCGCAACCCUUAAGCUUAGUUGCCAUCAUUAAGUUGGGCACUCUAAGUUGACUGCCGGUGACAAACCGGAGGAAGGUGGGGAUGACGUCAAAUCAUCAUGCCCCUUAUGAUUUGGGCUACACACGUGCUACAAUGGACAAUACAAAGGGUAGCGAAACCGCGAGGUCAAGCAAAUCCCAUAAAGUUGUUCUCAGUUCGGAUUGUAGUCUGCAACUCGACUACAUGAAGCUGGAAUCGCUAGUAAUCGUAGAUCAGCAUGCUACGGUGAAUACGUUCCCGGGUCU